rnacentral:rRNA from 1 species
AUUGAACGCUGGCGGCAGGCUUAACACAUGCAAGUCGAACGAGUGGCGGACGGGUGAGUAAUGCUUGGGAAACUAGCUUAUGGAGGGGGAUAACUACGGGAAACUGGAGCUAAUACCGCGUACCCUAGGAUGAGCCCAUGUGGGAUUAGGUAGUUGGUGAGGUAAAGGCUCACCAAGCCGACGAUCUCUAGCUGGUCUGAGCGGAUGACCAGCCACACGGGGACUGAGAUACGGCCCAGACUCCUACGGGAGGCAGCAGUGGGGAAGAUUGCGCAAUGGAGGAAACCUGAUGCAGCCAUGCCGCGUGAAUGAAGAAGGCCUGCGGGUUGUAAAGUUCUGUCGGUAGCGAGGCGUUAACUACAGAAGAAGCACCGGCUAACUCCGUGCCAGCAGCCGCGGUAAUUC